ACCCUGGGGGCAUCCUUGAAUGCCUGACUUUGAUUCUGUGGUAGGUACCAGCCCAAGAGACACACAACCAUAGAACGAGAGCUGGAAGGGUCCAUGGGUGCCACCCGCCCAACCCUCCUUACAGCAAGAAUCGAGGUCACAGCCAUAGCCACGAUGAGGCGGAUGGAAGCUGGGCCCAAGGGAGGCCGUCUGGCUGCCCAGGAGAGGGGACUGAAGGAGGGGCCCACAGAGGGGGCCCAGCUGGCCAGCCGGACUCCAGGCUGGAGGAGAUGGGAGCAUCUGGAAAACAUCAUUCACUUUGACCAAUCAGUGUUUAAAAGCCAAACAAAGCCACAGUGAGCACAGCCGGGGUUUUUUUUUUCCCCUUCCAAGUACAACAGCACAUCUGGGUGUUUCAUUUGACUUCACAGUUGUUCGCUGCCACGGAUUCCCUGGGGCCAGCAUGCACCUCUUCCUUGUGUCUCUUACAUUUACCUAUCUCUGACUCCCAGAAAGUGGCCUGAUUUCCCCCCAAAACAAAUUCACACCUGCUUAAGGAAAACCGGAAAUGGAUAUUUCCAUGUUUCUAUUGUUAUUCUAUUCCUGCCAGAACCCCUGCCCCGGGGUGAGUGCUGGGAAUGCUGGAUAAAAGCAAAACUAAGGCCCAGCCCCAAGCUGUCUGCCACCUUGCGGAAGACAUGGAAGGGCAUGAGUGCAUCCGGAGGCCAUUCGUCAUGGUGACCACUCCCUCUUCCUGGAAGCAGCCCCUUCCUGCGGGUCCCUUCUGUGACUCCACCCUUCCCUGGGUCUUCUCCUGUCCCACCGGCCACAGCUUCUACCUGCUCUUCCCAUGUUGGGUCCUGUAUCUCCUCUCUUCUCUCCCCACUCUCUCUCCUGAGCCCGGUCUUCCUCUCCUGCGGAUCCAGUUACCAUCUCUUUGUCACGCACUCCCAAAUUCACAGCUCCAGCCAAGCCUUUCCCCCUGAAGCUAAACACACACACCCAACACCGCUUCUGGGAUGUCUCCAGGAUCUCAGGACCCACCACGACUGCAGGGGGUGGACCAUGAACAUGGACAAGCUGCAAGAUGUCCUUUGACAGCUGUGUGUGGCGGAGCAGCAGGGCCCAGGGGAAGCCAGGAGGCAGCUGUUCUUGGAAAGAGAUCAAAACCACUGCUGCACACCUCUUCCUCAAAUCGAGGUGGCGGCCACUUCUGGAACCAUCCAGCUGAGCAGUGUCAGCCCCACGAGCCUGGGUGCUCGGCGCCGGCCGGCAGAGGGACAGGACUCGGCAAGUUGCCGCACCUUCUCGUAAAAUCCAGCAGAGCGGGCCGACGGCAAGAUCUUUCUCAUCUCCACGGGGCUUUCCUCCGUCUGGAUGUUAAAAAGGAACCGGUCAACCCAGCUCCACAAAGGCCCUCAGAGGCAGAAUCGGGUGGAAGA
rnacentral:lncRNA from 1 species